AGUUGGUCAAGAGACUGGCAGAUUGUGUAUCAGCUGUGAUACUGAAAGGAUGUGUAUUCCUUGAAGUCUUGAAUCAGUUAGAUUCUGGAGGACUUGUAUUUAAAGUUUAUAUGUUUAAACUUUGUAGCUAACUUUGUCAAUGUGUCUGAAGUAAUGUACAUUUGUUAAUAAACUUGUAUAUAUAAAUACCGUAUUAUUUAGUUACUGGGAAUUUACCACAGGA
rnacentral:lncRNA from 1 species